CCACCACCAAAGCAUUCUCUGGUGUUGAAGGCCCUGCAAAGCAGCAUCGCGGUGGCGGAGCGUCGUUUGCGACGCCCAACACACAAAACAAGCGGUGAGUGCUUUGGGGUGGGGUGACUGCGUACCUUUUGUAUAAUGGGUCAGCGACUUAUAUUCUGUAGCAAGGUUAACCGAAUAGGGGAGCCGGAGGGAAACCGAGUCUUAAUUGGGCGUUAAGUUGCAGGGUAUAGACCCGAAACCCGGUGAUCUAGCCAUGGGCAGGUUGAAGGUUGGGUAACACUAACUGGAGGACCGAACCGACUAAUGUUGAAAAAUUAGCGGAUGACCUGUGGCUGGGGGUGAAAGGCCAAUCAAACCGGGAGAUAGCUGGUUCUCCCCGAAAGCUAUUUAGGUAGCGCCUCGUGAAUUCAUCUCCGGGGGUAGAGCACUGUUUCGGCUAGGGGGCCAUCCCGGCUUACCAACCCGAUGCAAACUGCGAAUACCGGAGAAUGUUAUCACGGGAGACACACGGCGGGUGCUAACGUCCGUCGUGAAGAGGGAAACAACCCAGACCGCCAGCUAAGGUCCCAAAGUCAUGGUUAAGUGGGAAACGAUGUGGGAAGGCCCAGACAGCCAGGAUGUUGGCUUAGAAGCAGCCAUCAUUUAAAGAAAGCGUAAUAGCUCACUGGUCGAGUCGGCCUGCGCGGAAGAUGUAACGGGGCUAAACCAUGCACCGAAGCUGCGGCAGCGACACUGUGUGUUGUUGGGUAGGGGAGCGUUCUGUAAGCCUGUGAAGGUGUGUCGUGAGGCAUGCUGGAGGUAUCAGAAGUGCGAAUGCUGACAUAAGUAACGAUAAAGCGGGUGAAAAGCCCGCUCGCCGGAAGACCAAGGGUUCCUGUCCAACGUUAAUCGGGGCAGGGUGAGUCGACCCCUAAGGCGAGGCCGAAAGGCGUAGUCGAUGGGAAACGGGUUAAUAUUCCCGUACUUGGUGUUACUGCGAAGGGGGGACGGAGAAGGCUAUGUUGGCCGGGCGACGGUUGUCCCGGUUUAAGCGUGUAGGUGUGUGUUCCAGGUAAAUCCGGUUCACUUUAACACUGAGGCGUGACGACGAGGCACUACGGUGCUGAAGCAACAAAUGCCCUGCUUCCAGGAAAAGCCUCUAAGCAUCAGGUAACAUCAAAUCGUACCCCAAACCGACACAGGUGGUCAGGUAGAGAAUACCAAGGCGCUUGAGAGAACUCGGGUGAAGGAACUAGGCAAAAUGGUGCCGUAACUUCGGGAGAAGGCACGCUGACACGUAGGUGAAGUGAUUUACUCAUGGAGCUGAAGUCAGUCGAAGAUACCAGCUGGCUGCAACUGUUUAUUAAAAACACAGCACUGUGCAAACACGAAAGUGGACGUAUACGGUGUGACGCCUGCCCGGUGCCGGAAGGUUAAUUGAUGGGGUCAGCGCAAGCGAAGCUCCUGAUCGAAGCCCCGGUAAACGGCGGCCGUAACUAUAACGGUCCUAAGGUAGCGAAAUUCCUUGUCGGGUAAGUUCCGACCUGCACGAAUGGCGUAAUGAUGGCCAGGCUGUCUCCACCCGAGACUCAGUGAAAUUGAACUCGCUGUGAAGAUGCAGUGUACCCGCGGCAAGACGGAAAGACCCCGUGAACCUUUACUAUAGCUUGACACUGAACAUUGAGCCUUGAUGUGUAGGAUAGGUGGGAGGCUUUGAAGUGUGGAC
rnacentral:rRNA from 1 species